UACGUAGGUGGCGAGCGUUAUCCGGAUUUAUUGGGCGUAAAGCGUGCGCAGACGGUUUACUAAGUCUAAAAUUAAAGCCCGAAGCUUAACUUCGGUUCGUUUUAGAAACUGGUAGGCUUGAGUAUGGUAGAGGCAAAUGGAAUUUCUAGUGUAGCGGUAAAAUGCGUAGAUAUUAGAAGGAACAUCAGUGGCGAAGGCGAUUUGCUGGGCCAUUACUGACGUUCAUGCACGAAAGCGUGGGGAGCAAAUAGG
rnacentral:rRNA from 1 species